rnacentral:misc_RNA from 1 species
GGCCUAAGACUUCGGUUAUGGCC